GACGAACGCUGGCGGCGUGCUUAACACAUGCAAGUCGAACGGAAAGGCCCCUGCUUGCAGGGGUACUCGAGUGGCGAACGGGUGAGUAACACGUGGGUGAUCUGCCCUUCACUUCGGGAUAAGCCUGGGAAACUGGGUCUAAUACCGGAUAGGACCAAUCUUUAGUGUGGUUGGUGGAAAGUUUUUUCGGUGGAGGAUGAGCCCGCGGCCUAUCAGCUUGUUGGUGGGGUAAUGGCCUUCCAAGGCGACGACGGGUAGCCGGCCUGAGAGGGUGGACGGCCACAUUGGGACUGAGACACGGCCCAGACUCCUACGGGAGGCAGCAGUGGGGAAUAUUGCACAAUGGGCGGAAGCCUGAUGCAGCGACGCCGCGUGAGGGAUGACGGCCUUCGGGUUGUAAACCCCUUUCGCUAGGGAAGAAGCCUUCGGGUGACGGUACCUGGAUAAGAAGCACCGGCUAACUACGUGCCAGCAGCCGCGGUAAUACGUAGGGUGCGAGCGUUGUCCGGAAUUACUGGGCGUAAAGAGCUCGUAGGUGGUUUGUCGCGUCGUCUGUGAAAUUCCGGGGCUUAACUCCGGGCGUGCAGGCGAUACGGGCAAGCUGGAGUGCUGUAGGGGAGACUGGAAUUCCUGGUGUAGCGGUGGAAUGCGCAGAUAUCAGGAGGAACACCGAUGGCGAAGGCAGGUCUCUGGGCAGUUACUGACACUGAGGAGCGAAAGCAUGGGUAGCGAACAGG
rnacentral:rRNA from 1 species